UCGAACGGUAACAGGAUGUGCUUGCACAUCGCUGACGAGUGGCGGACGGGUGAGUAAUGCUUGGGAACUUGCCUUUGCGAGGGGGAUAACAGUUGGAAACGACUGCUAAUACCGCAUAAUGUCUACGGACCAAACGGGGCUUCGGCUCCGGCGCAAAGAGAGGCCCAAGUGAGAUUAGCUAGUUGGUAAGGUAACGGCUUACCAAGGCGACGAUCUCUAGCUGUUCUGAGAGGAAGAUCAGCCACACUGGGACUGAGACACGGCCCAGACUCCUACGGGAGGCAGCAGUGGGGAAUAUUGCACAAUGGGGGAAACCCUGAUGCAGCCAUGCCGCGUGUGUGAAGAAGGCCUUCGGGUUGUAAAGCACUUUCAGUUGUGAGGAAAAGUUAGUAGUUAAUACCUGCUAGCCGUGACGUUAACAACAGAAGAAGCACCGGCUAACUCCGUGCCAGCAGCCGCGGUAAUACGGAGGGUGCGAGCGUUAAUCGGAAUUACUGGGCGUAAAGCGCACGCAGGCGGUUUGUUAAGCUAGAUGUGAAAGCCCCGGGCUCAACCUGGGAUGGUCAUUUAGAACUGGCAGACUAGAGUCUUGGAGAGGGGAGUGGAAUUCCAGGUGUAGCGGUGAAAUGCGUAGAUAUCUGGAGGAACAUCAGUGGCGAAGGCGACUCCCUGGCCAAAGACUGACGCUCAUGUGCGAAAGUGUGGGUAGCGAACAGGAUUAGAUACCCUGGUAGUCCACACCGUAAACGCUGUCUACUAGCUGUGUGUGCCUUUAAG
rnacentral:rRNA from 1 species